AUUGAACGCUGGCGGCAGGCCUAACACAUGCAAGUCGAACGCAGUGGGGACGGGUGAGUUACACGUGGGUCACCUCCCAUCAGAGGGGAUAACACUUGGAAACAGGUGCUAAACCGAUACUGAUGGAUGAACCCGCGGUGCAUUAGCUAGUUGGUGAGGUAGCGGCUCACCAAGGCCACGAUGCGUAGCCGGCCUGAGAGGGUGAGCGGCUACACGGGGACUGAGACACGGCCCAGACGCCUACGGUAGGAAGCAGUAGGGAAUCGUCGGCAAUGGACGAAAGUCUGACCGAGCGACGCCGCGUGAGUGAAGAAGGUUUUCGGAUCGUAAAACUCUGUUGUUAGAGAAGCGGUAUCUAACCAGAAAGCCACGGCUAACUACGUGCCAGCAGCCGCGGUAAUAC
rnacentral:rRNA from 1 species